rnacentral:lncRNA from 1 species
UGGGAGUGGAAGGUGAAACCUUAUAAUCUUGAAGACGAAUGAAGAAGACGAACAAAGAAGGUGAAAUUUGAACAAAACUAUGAAGGAGAAACAAAUGGUUGUUCAAAAAUGGAGAAGAAUAAAUGAAGGAGAAGGUGGCGUUGAGUUAUGGUGAAAUGAAGGAGAAGAUGGGAGUUCACACGUCACUAUUAAUGCGUAUGAUUUUCUCUCCUUUUUCUCUG